rnacentral:lncRNA from 1 species
AAUUGGAUUCGAAUCUGAUUCUUAAUUGAUCUAAUUUGAUUAGAUCAUAUUCUAAUAUGGGUUAGCCAAGAGUUGGCACCUAAUUGACUUGGUUUGAGUCUAAUUGGAUUAAAUUUAAUAAAUCAUUCAAUCUAGACCGUUAGAUCUUGAUCUACCGUUGGAUGAAGACAUAAUGGAGAGUUGGUUUAACCCAAUUGGAUUGAGUUAGAGGAUGGCUACCAUAAUUGACCAUUGGAUCUUAAUCCCACCAUUGGAUGAAGACAUAAUGGGUCAAGUGAA